CUCUUACGAACCCCGUCAGGCCCGGAAGGGAGCAGCGGUAAGUAAGCAGGUCUGUGCCAUGGAAGGAGCUACCAUU
rnacentral:SRP_RNA from 1 species